rnacentral:lncRNA from 1 species
UCCUCUUUGAGAGGGACAAUGCCAGACAGUGAAUCAUGGAUGGCAUUUCUAUGGCAUCAUAAAUAAAAACUUUCCCUUGGUGUGAUGUCCUGUUCCCUGCUCUAGCUAUUUCGUCUUUGGACAUAGCACAAAAUGGAGCUAUAUAUUAAGAGGAAGAGUUGACAAGGUAGCUGAUAGGAAGGGAAAUGUUUCCUCAUGUGAACCAUGAGUACAAUAAAAUAAACUCAUGGCUUGAACCUUAAAGACA